AAACGCAGCGAAGUGCGAUACGUGGUGCGAAUUGCAGAAUCCCGUGAACCAUCGAGUUUUUGAACGCAAGUUGCGCCUGAGGCCAGCUGGCCGAGGGCACGUCCGCCUGGGCGUCAAGC
rnacentral:rRNA from 1 species